rnacentral:rRNA from 1 species
GACGGAGGAUGCAAGUGUUAUCCGGAAUCACUGGGCGUAAAGCGUCUGUAGGUGGUUCAAUAAGUCAACUGUUAAAUCUUGAGGCUCAACUUCAAAAUCGCAGUCGAAACUAUUAGGCUAGAGUAUAGUAGGGGUAAAGGGAAUUUCCAGUGGAGCGGUGAAAUGCGUAGAGAUUGGAAAGAACACCGAUGGCGAAGGCACUUUACUGGGCUAUUACUAACACUCAGAGACGAAAGCUAGGGGAGCAAAUGGG